rnacentral:rRNA from 1 species
AUUGAACGCUGGCGGCAUGCCUUACACAUGCAAGUCGAACGGUAACAGGUUAAGCUGACGAGUGGCGAACGGGUGAGUAAUACAUCGGAACGUGCCCAGACGUGGGGGAUAGCUCGGCGAAAGCCGGAUUAAUACCGCAUAAGCUCUGAGGAGGAAAGCGGGGGACCGUAAGGCCUCGCGCGUUUGGAGCGGCCGAUGGCGGAUUAGGUAGUUGGUGGGGUAAAGGCUUACCAAGCCUACGAUCUGUAGCUGGUCUGAGAGGACGACCAGCCACACUGGGACUGAGACACGGCCCAGACUCCUACGGGAGGCAGCAGUGGGGAAUUUUGGACAAUGGGCGAAAGCCUGAUCCAGCAAUGCCGCGUGCAGGAUGAAGGCCUUCGGGUUGCAAACUGCUUUUGUACGGAACGAAAAGGCGCCUACUAAUACUGGGUGUUGAUGACGGUACCGUAAGAAUAAGCACCGGCUAACUACGUCCCAGCCGCCGCCGUAAUAC